GUACACUCCUGCGGGAGGCAGCAGUAGGGAAUCUUCCACAAUGGGUGCAAACCUGAUGGAGCAAUGCCGCGUGAGUGAAGAAGGUCUUCGGAUCGUAAAGCUCUGUUGUUAGAGAAGAACACGUGCUAGGUAACUACUAGCGCCUUGACGGUAUCUAACCAGAAAGUCACGGCUAACUACGUGCCAGCAGCCGCGGUAAUACGUAGGUGACAAGCGUUGUCCGGAUUUAUUGGGCGUAAAGGGAGCGCAGGCGGUCUGUUUAGUCUAAUGUGAAAGCCCACGGCUUAACCGUGGAACGGCAUUGGAAACUGACAGACUUGAAUGUAGAAGAGGAAAAUGGAAUUCCAAGUGUAGCGGUGGAAUGCGUAGAUAUUUGGAGGAACACCAGUGGCGAAGGCGAUUUUCUGGUCUAACAUUGACGCUGAGGCUCGAAAGCGUGGGGAGCGAACAGGAUUAGAAACCCCGGUAGUCCCAUG
rnacentral:rRNA from 1 species